UUGGGGCUUGAGUAUCAGAGGGGAAAGUGGAAUUCCUAGUGGAGCGGUAAAAUGCACAGAGAUUAGGAGGAACACCGGUGGCGAAGGCGACUUUCUGGCUGACAACUGACGCUGAGGCGCGAAAGCGUGGGGAGCAAACAGGAUUAGAUACCCUGGUAGUCCACGCCGUAAACGAUGAUUACUGGGUGUAGGGAGUAUCGACUCUCUCUGUGCCGAAGCAAACGCGAUAAGUAAUCCACCUGGGGAGUACGGCCGCAAGGCUAAAACUCAAAGGAAUUGACGGGGACCCGCACAAGCAGUGGAGUAUGUGGUUUAAUUCGAGGCAACGCGAAGAACCUUACCAGGGAUUGACAUCCUGCGCUAGGCUUGGAGACAGGCUGUUCCUUCGGGACGCAGAGACAGGUGGUGCAUGGUUGUCGUCAGCUCGUGUCGUGAGAUGUUCGGUUAAGUCCGGCAACGAGCGCAACCCUUGUUGUCAGUUACCAUCAUUAAGUUGGGGACUUUGGCGAGACUGCCGUUGACAAAACGGAGGAAGGUGGGGAUGACGUCAAAUCAUCAUGCCCCUUAUAUCCUGGGCUACACACGUACUACAAUGGGCGUUACAGCGGGCAGCCACACCGCGAGGUGGAGCGAAUCCCGAAAGGCGUCCUCAGUUCGGAUUGCAGGCUGCAACUCGCCUGCAUGAAGUCGGAAUUGCUAGUAAUGGCAGGUCAGCAUACUGCCGUGAAUACGUUCCCGGGUCUUGUACACACCGCCCGUCACACCAUGAGAGUCUGUAACACCCGAAGUCAGUAGUCUAACCUGAUUAGAUUAGGGGGACGCUGCCGAAGGUGGGAUAGAUAAUUGGGGUGAAGUCGUAACAAGGUAACCGUA
rnacentral:rRNA from 1 species